UCCUUGGUGGUCUAGUGGUUAAGACUCUGUCUUCCCAAGGCAGGGGGCCUGGGUUCAAUCCCUGAGUGGGGAA
rnacentral:tRNA from 1 species